GCCGUUACCGAGCGGGGCAGCGAGAGCGGCUCCAUCGCCGAGCAGAGGAGCCCGGAGUCGCUCUGUCGUGGAGAGGAGGGGCACGGAGCGGCUCCGUCGCCGAGCAGAGGAGCCCGGAGUCGCUCUAUCGUGGAGAGGAGGGGCACGGAGCGGCUCCAUCGCCCAGCAGAGGAGCCCGGAGCGGCUCAAUCGCCUGGCGGAGCUCCCCGGGAGCGGCUCCAUCGCCGAGCAGAGGAGCCCCGAGUGGCUCUGUCGUGGAGAGGAGGGGCACGGAGCGGCUCCAUCGCCGAGCAGAGGAGCCCCGAGUGGCUCUGUCGUGGAGAGGAGGGGCACGGAGCGGCUCCAUCGCCGGCCGGAGCUCCCGGGAGGGCCCAGGCGGGUGCUGAGGGUCCCGGCCCGGUGAGCGCCGCCCUCCCGGGACACCGCGGGGUCGGGGCCGCUUUUCUCCUAUUUCAGCUCCUUGCUGUCGCUGUGACUCGCAGGGUUCGAGUCUGGAUCCCUUUCCCCGUGACUCGCACGGGGCUUUGCCCUUGCAAUGGGCUGUCACAGCCACUUUCCAAUGCCACAUUCACCUCUUGAAUUCCUCACAGGAGAAUGGGGUGGGAUUGUGCUAUCAGCAGUUAUUUAUCCACUUACACACUGAUGGCUGCUGUGGCAGAUAAAGCCAGCAUUUCCCAGCUUCCUGCUGGUUUUUUUUUUUUCCCUGGAAAACUUGUUUGUUCUCUGCUGAACUCUGCGGUGUCUUCUGUGUCCUUUCUGUUGUGUUCCCAGUCUGUUUCCCGUCUGUUCAAUCCUGCAGGUGGAAAUGGAUCAGUCAAUGAACAUUUCCUCCGUGCUGCUGCCACUUUCCACCUUUUACCUUGUGCUGCAGCAUUUUAAGGAACUUGGUGGUACCCUGGAGCACAAGAAAGAACUCAACAGCCGCAUUUCAGAGAAAUACGAUCCCCUCGUGGAGGAGGUGGAAAAACUGAAGCUGGAAGAGAGCGAGAGCUCAAGGAGCUGCACUCAGCUUUCAGGAGGAGGAGUCCCUGCUGCUUUUCCUGGAGAAGAUGAAGGAGCUCAGCUGUGGCUGCACCUGAACCUGUGCAGAUCCAUGCUGGGAUGCAGAAGGUUGAAGAUUUUCUUCCAGCUUUUCUUGGGGGGCCGGACACUGCAAGAGAGCAAGAUUGGGGCUGUCAGGAAUGCUGCUCCUGCCCCAGCUCAUGGACUGAUCCUGGGAGCAUUCCUGCAUCAUUCCCUAGGCAGAAUGAAGUGCCCUGGGAAUUAUUAAGUGCUGGGAAAUGAGUUCAAAACUUUCCAACUGCUUUAGCUCCUGAUUUCUCCAGGAGAAAGAAAUGAAUCUGAGAGCUAAAAACUUGUGCUUUCUGUCAUUAUUUGUCCACACCGAGCCCUUCUUGCUUCACUGAUGAUCAGUGAGCAUUUACUUUAAAAACAGGUUGAAAAAAGGACUAUGAUGAUUAAAAACUAAUGGCAUACAAAGUAUUUUGAACACCUGAACAUGAUUCCCUCUGAGAAGGGAUCCAGACUGUCCACGAGCUCCAGCUCAGCGUCCCCUCCCAGUGUGAGCAUCUGGUAGUUCUCCUUCAGCUUGUUGGUGAUGACAUUAAAUCCUGCCAUGAAUUCAUUCAGCCUCUGUUUCCUGAGCUGUUCAAAGGCCUCUCUGAAUUUGUCCCUCUCGCUGGUGAUGUUGUCCAGUUCCUCCACGUGCUUCAGGUACAGCUCUUCCUGCAGGGGAGAACAACCAAACCCAAGGGCACUGAGAGCAGCUGAAUUUAAACCUGAACACUUUCCCUUCCAUUUGAACACUCCUUCUCCCCAGCCUGGCUAACAGCCCUGAAACAAAGCCCCCAAACUGUCUCUCUUUUCCCAUCUCUGCUGCUGAGGGAAAACAAAAAACCAAACCCGUGUCAAAAUAAAAAAUACUUCAUCUA